AUGGAGGUGGAUGGGCUCUUGUAGAAGCUGAAGUGGCUCGACGCCUACCCCAAGGUCAACGAGGACUUCUACAAGCGCAUGCUCUUUGGCGGCGUCACCAGGCUCGUCUCUGUCCUCGUCAUGCUGCUCCUCUUCAUCUCUCAAACAAGUAAGUGA
rnacentral:rRNA from 1 species